CUCACAAAAGUUGAAAUACAAAAUACUAAUGACAAUUGCAUAGUGCAAGAGGAUGUGAAUUUUGCGGCUGGUCCUUCUGAAAAGAAAUAAUGAGGCAUCACUUCCAGCUUCUCUUACUAUAUUCAUGAUGAUUUUAAGCAGGCUCCUGGGUUGUCAGGUAUGUAACUGUGUGAAAUGUCUAUUCUUGAUUAAUUAGUAUGGUAAACAUUUAUUUCGCAAUUAAUUCAUGUUUAUGUGCAGGAAGAGUAAUUCUCUAUAUGUGAUAGAUGUCCCCUCCUAAUUUAUUCUUGUUUUGCUUUAGUGGCUCCCAAGGAUGAUUCUGCAAAAAUCUUGUAUUUUUCCUGGUUGUUAAUCAAUUUCCUGAUAUGUUCCAAACUUAGUAGAAAUGGAUAACCUCUUGUCACUGAGGAAGGUAAUUAAUUCAAAUUGGGACUUUCUGAUAACCAAUAAUGAGCAGUUUGAUUAACAAGAUUUUCCUGUCAGUUAUUGCUUGGGACUCUCUUUUGAUUUACUAAAAGCAUGCUGUGAAGAUGCUGAGGUAAAGGGUGUAACAGUGAACUUGUAGUGCCUGCCACUUUAAGGGUGGAGUCAAGCAGCCAGCAGGUGCUUGAUUGCAGCAGCCAUUUUAAAACACUGACUGCCUAUAUAAACACAGCAAUUUGCUGCUAGUAGCUAGGCAGAAUUAUUGCUUGGCUGAAAGGCUGUAUGAAGCAUCUUGGUGGAGCAACUCGGCUUCCUCCAUCAGUCAAAAGAAGAGCUGACAGACAGCCAUCCUGUUGUUUGGUCCAUGACAUAAGCCUGGAUUAACUUUGUGAAACUCAUCAACUCAAAGCAAUUUCCAGGGCCCCAUUCUUUCCAGCUGGCUGAGUGCCCUGCCCACGAAGGUCCCAGUUGGCCUCCUUGGAGACCCUGGGAUUUCAGGGCAGUGGCAGUGCAGGGCUGAGACCUGGGGCACAGCUCUACUCCACUCCAUGCAUGCCCCUGCCCACAGAACCAGUGCUUGUUGCAAGGGCAUGCAGGGAUCAGCUGUGCCUUAGUGCAGGCCUGGCCUGGGGCCUGUCACGGACCUGCGAUCCCAUCCCACUCCUGGAGGCCGUUCUCUGAUGCUGCUCGCUGCCUGCCUGUGGUUCCAUCCCAGCCAAGAAUGGAGCAAUGCCACUUUGGGAGUUUUCGUGAGAUGUUGAGGGGUGACACUGACCUGACAUGGGUGGGGAGGGUGCUGUUCACUUGGCUCAUAACAGGUCACCAAAACUCCCUACGUGGUCCUCAACCCCAAAUAAUUGCCUACUCCUGCCCUAUACAGUCUCUGUGGUGCUUAUAACCCAGAACGGAGCGUCUUGGUGCAUGCUUUUUCUUUUUUCCAAGAGCUCCAAUAUAACCAGCAGCUGUUCUACACCAAGGAGAGGGGGUUCCUUCAAGUCCUCUCCAAACUGCCAGUCUUCCACCAAACUUCCUCUGGACCUACAAGUUCAUCAUGGUAACCAGGACCAUCACUGCUACUAAAGAAAAAUGUCUAUGGGCAGGGACCCUGCAGUAGGACUCUAACCUGAGCCAGCACAGCUGGAGGCUUCCUUUGUGUGACUGAGGCUGGUCCUGGCUAGCAUCCUCUGUAUCGGAGACCUCCUGGACUACAGUAGGAAAACUGGCUGGACCUCCUAAUGCUUGGCUAGCAGACAGGCUGUGUCCUGCCUCUGGUGUCCCAGCAGUGCUCCAAGGAGGCUGAAAGUGGUUCCUUAUUCCUGGAUCUUUAUCACAGCUAAUCCUUACCCAAUGAAAGGUUCUUAGUAAUGAAUUACACAAGCUAAAGAGUUAGGAUGUCACCAAAAUGUGUUUACUAAUACAAAUGUAAAAUAACCGCAUAUAUAUUGCCGUGAAUAAAGAACUAAGAUUACACUGGGCUUAUGGGGUAAAAUCUUUUCUGCAUCAUCCCAAACCACAGGUCUCCACUACCAAAAGACUUUUUGAAGAAUUCUGCAUGACCUCUGAAAGCCUGCCUCUUUCCAGCCUUUGGAGUGGCAGCAGUGGGUUGGAGUAGAUGGCAAUGCCUGACUUGACUCUGCUGCUCAGUUUUCAUGUGCCAGCCUGCCAACUGCCGGCAUCCCAGGCCUGUAUUUGAUAUACAAUGCCCCAAAUAAGGGCAAAAUCCCUUUCAGG